rnacentral:rRNA from 1 species
UACGUAGGGUGCAAGCGUUAAUCGGAAUUACUGGACGUAAAGCGUGCGCAGGCGGCUUUGCAAGACAGAUGUGAAAUCCCCGGGCUUAACCUGGGAACUGCAUUUGUGACUGCAUGGCUGGAGUGCGGCAGAGAGGGAUGGAAUUCCGCGUGUAGCAGUGAAAUGCGUAGAUAUGCGGAGGAACACCGAUGGCGAAGGCAGUCCCCUGGGCCUGCACUGACGCUCAUGCACGAAAGCGUGGGGAGCAAACAGG